rnacentral:rRNA from 1 species
UACGUAGGCAGCGAGCGUUGUUCGGAAUUACUGGGCGUAAAGAGUGUGUAGGCGGUGCUCUCAGUCUGUUGUGAAAUCUCCCGGCUUAACUGGGAGGGUGCAGCGGAAACUAGAGUGCUAGAGGGUGGGAGAGGUAAGCGGAAUUCCUGGUGUAGCGGUGAAAUGCGUAGAUAUCGGGAGGAACACCUGUGGCGAAAGCGGCUCACUGGACCACAACUGACGCUGAGGCGCGAAAAGCUAGGGGAGCAAACAGGG